rnacentral:lncRNA from 1 species
GGUCAGGAACACGGGAACAGUUUAGCUGAGUGGAUUUGGCUCAGGGUGUCUCAUGACGUAAUAAAAGUGUUGGCUGAGUUGCAGCUGUCUCACGUUUGACUGGAGGAGGAUCCACGACCGUGCCUCCCUCACGUGGCUGUUGGCUGGCCUCAGAGGAUCUGUUCAAGACUCACUCAUAGCCGCCUCCACAGGGCUGCCUCAUAGCCUGCAGCUGGCUCCUCCCAAAGCAAGUGGUCCAGGAGAGAAUGAGACUGCACUCAAGAAGGAAGCUAUGGUGUUUUCACAAUCUAAUCUCAGAAGUGGCAUCCCAGAAUUUCUGCCAUACUCUAUUCUUUUGAAGCAAAGUAUUCAGUCCAGCCUGCAGGCAGGGGGACCAUGUGACUACCAGGAGGUGAGGAGCACUAAGAAGUAUAUAUGUUUUUAUGAAGAUCCAUAACUCUGUAAAUGGAUAAGGGUGUGCAACAAUUGGGAAUGCUGAGCAAGGCUUUGCCCCUAUAUCCCUAUGCACUUCUGUUGGAAGAAUGUUCAAGCCUCUUCCCAAGACAGCUCCAGUGUUUGGGGAAAAUAAAGUGCUCUCCCUUGGCCUGGGCCCUUGGAUCCCAAGUGGAAAGAAGUGCCGUUUGCCUCCUACCAUGAUUCUGAG